CUGAUCGGAGCGAUGGGGAAACAGGAAGACGUCUCCGUUCAGUUAGAGGCUCUGGACAUCCUGUCAGACAUGUUGGGAAGGCUGAGCGGUGCUCUGGUCAGUUUCCACAGCGCUCUGCUCUCCAGUCUGCUCCCUCAGCUGACCAGCUCCAGGAUGGCGGUGAGGAAGCGCUCCAUCUUGGCUCUGGGUCACCUGGUUCCCUGCUGUAGCCCCGCCCUCUUCUCCCAG